AAUUAUAUUAAUUUAUAAAAUUAUUUUUAUAUAAUUAUUUUUUGAAUAAAAUAUUUCUCUACUUAAUAAUUGUUUAAUUUGAAAUAUUUCAAAUUAUUAUUAUUUUUUUUAAUCCUACUUGCAAGGCAUUAAUUUAGGACACACUUUCUACAUGUUUCUGAUCCAUGCAUAUGCCAG